GGGCGUUUAACAUGCAAAGUCGAACGGUAAGAGAGAGCCUAGCUCUUCUCCUAGAGUGGCGGACUGGUGAGUAACGCGUGGGUGACCUGCCCUAAAGAUGGGGAUAGCUAGUAGAAAUAUUAGAUAAUACCGAAUGUGCUCAUUUACAUAAAGGUAGAUGAGGAAAGGGAGCUACGGCUCCGCUUUAGGAUGGGCCCGCGUCCCAUUAGCUAGUUGGUGAGGUAACGGCCCACCAAGGCAACGAUGGGUAUCCGGCCUGAGAGGGUGAACGGACACAUUGGGACUGAGAUACGGCCCAAACUCCUACGGGAGGCAGCAGCUAAGAAUCUUCCGCAAUGGACGAAAGUCUGACGGAGCGACGCCGUGUGAAUGAAGAAGGCCGAAAGGUUGUAAAAUUCUUUUGCAGAUGAAGAAUAAGGAUAAGAGGGAAUGAUUGUCCGAUGACGUAGUUAGCGAAUAGCCGGGUAUUCAAG
rnacentral:rRNA from 1 species